UCGUACAAGUUUCCGUAGGUGAACCUGCGGAAGGAUCAUUAU
rnacentral:rRNA from 1 species